UGACCUACGACCUUGAAGAGGCACAGUUAAGACCUUUACUCUAGUUACAGCAAUAAGCCCACCUCUGCCUGAGAGGCCAGUACAUCAGGGCUCUCCCUGUCCGACAUCACCCGACCCGUAACAGUCCACAGACUCUUCUGGAGAGGACUGGAGCUCAAGCAAGGUUCUCAGUAGGUGGUGGAUUCGUGGAAGGAGGGGCCUGGUUGGAGGAAGUUGGUCACUGAUGGCAUGUCCUUGGGGGUUGUACCUAGUUAACCUGAACCCUUCUGAGUAUGGCUCCAUUCUGUCUCCUGUCUGCGAUUAGGUAUGCUGUCCUGUUUCUUGCAUGCAAUGUUGUGAAGGUUCACUCCUCCACUCUGCUUCCUGUCUGCCAUGCUGUGAGCUCCUCCUCUCUGCCUCCUGUCGGUCGCACUAUGAACAGCCUUCUCUUCCACUCUGAGAGUUACCGUGAUGUUCCACCCAGUGUAUGGACCCAAGUGACCAUGGCCUGCAUCCUCUGAGAUACUGAUCAAGAUAAAGCUUACUUCCAUUUAAAUUGUUCUUUAGGGUGUUUUAGGCACAGUGCGCCAUAGUGACAAUUCCAGGACUUCACUGCUCUCCCCGUCGGAGCUCCCUUUUGUUCAAAACACUUCUUAAGUUACAACUCGCCGAGGUGACCAUGCUUCCACGUGACUGUGACUCACUUCCUUGUGUGAUGUGUGACUUCAGCGUUAGCACUUGAGCUUCAUGGAAUGUCACAGAUUCUUCAGCAGAAACUGAUGACUUCAGCUCUCUAAGCUCAAACGUCCCCCUGGCUGCUUACUAAGUAUUUACUGCCUUGUGAGAUCCAUGGCCGCUCGGGUAUGGUGAGAAGCCCCUGGAAGAAGCUCAGGGAGAGUGGAUCUGGCGGCAGCAGGCCUGGCUGGAGACCUGAGCUCUCUCUUGUCAUGCUCUUGGUCCUUGGCCAUGAUCAGGGCCCUGCUGUAAGCAUCCUUCUCUGCCUCUUUAACAUCCAGCCUCUCAUUUUCUCUUGACUUUGUGUAUCUCUCCCAUGGUCCUUACUUUGUGUAGCCAUGGCAGGCCAGAAACAUUCGAGAGAGUCGCUUAAAAGGUGGAAAGAUUUCUUUUUUUUUUUUUUUUUUUUGGACUCGUGGUUUUAGAGGGCUCACAGCGAAAGGCUGGUGUGCGGGAAGGAAGCAACCCCUGUUUCAUGCUUCCAUGCUCGGAUCUGUAAUCGUUUGAGGUCUGCUUUAUGUUUGGUAGGAGGGAGAGCUAAACUCCAUGUCUCAUUAUUUGUGUAGAUAAUGGACGCACCACCGAGUACUGAAAGCAGCCAUUCUCCCUUCUCUCGGCAGCAAGUAAUGACUAAGGACCCUAACUGACACCACUCUCUCCCACCAGCCUGUUCUUGUCCUAACAUCACAUCCUGGCUUAGUAAGAAGUCUUGGUAUCUUAUGAGGCCAGUCUUGGCAUUGUGUUUCCUUGGAUACCUGGAAAUUGUAUUUCCCUGUGAAUUUUAGAGUCAAUUUAUUGAUUUUUCACAUGAAUGCACACCUGUAGGGAUCUGCAGGGACUCUGACUAGAACUUUAUUAAAUCUUCCAAUCAAUUUCAACCCUAUUAUCAAAAGGUAAUAUCAUUACCAGGUCUCCCCUUUAACUUUGUCUUCUUCUCCUCAUAUUCUCAGCCCAUGGUCACUGUGCGCUUCCCACUUAUUUAAGUCUGCCUUUGUCUUUCUCAAUAGCAUCCCAUUACCUUGAACUAAAUAUGUCGUUAGACUUUCUUCCUUUCUGAUUUUAUACACUGCACUCAACAUCUACUUGUAAAAUUUAUUCUAUGUUUGUUUCUGUUAGGGGAAUGUAAGCCUUGCUGUAUUUUUUGUCUUUAUCUGAUAACUGACAAUUUAUGGCAGACUUAAAGUGUUGGUUUGGGCCACAGGUGUAAUAGUAAAUAUAAACGGUGAAAACAUAGCUCCUAUGUCAGCCUGGGAGGAAGAAGCCAGUAUUUCACCUGCCUUGUGAGAUCUGCAGGCCUUGGAUUGAGUGAGAGGUCCCUGGAAAAAGCUCCCUGAGAAAGAGGCAGAGUGGAGCUGGCUGCAGCAGGCCUGGCUAUAGUUCUGAUCUAGGUCAGGACAUGGUCAGCCUCAGGUCAACUGUUCCUGCACGGGCUGGAAGAUGCAGAGAGGACCAUCUGGGAUGGGAGAACAGGUCUGACUCUGGGAAGAGACUGAUGACCCAAAAGUUUCCCAGUGCCUGCUCCCCCCGGUGAAACAAAUUCUAGUGAGCAAUCCUUGGGCCUUGAAAAUGCUUCUGCUUCCUCUUCUGGAAGGACUGGUAUCCGUGGCAAGGCAAGUAGACAUCCCAGCCAUGCUUUGGUGGCCACUUCACUGGGCCAUGAGCCAGCUAAUUCUUCAAUGGCCAGGACUUUGGACAUCUACCGUGAUGUACACAUGCUUCUCCAGCUUUGUGCUUCUUCAAAACAUAUCGCCUCACUCUCCCAGGACAGGUCAGCCUACCCCACUGGACCGGAGUCUGCAGGAGAGGAAGAUAGCAUCUGCUUGCCGUGGAGUCUCCAAGACUGGCACUGUGCCUGGCCUUCGGAUUCCUAUAAAACAAAGAACCAAACAGCAGGAUGCCCGGGUCUCCUGAGCCCAGCCCUGCUUUCCUGGGGUUUGAAAUGUU
rnacentral:lncRNA from 1 species